rnacentral:tRNA from 1 species
GGGCCCGUAGCCCAGCAAGGAUAAAGGCGCCGAACCACAUGCAGACCAUUGUGGUGCGUAGGCCUCCGGUUAAACAACGUUUAGCGUUUAGAAGAAAGCCGGAGAACAGGGGUUCAAAUCCCCUCGGGCCCG